UAGAUAGAUAGAUAGAUAGAAAGGUGCUAUAUAAUAGAUAGAUAGAUAGAUAGAUAGAAAGGCGCUAUAUAAUAGAUAGAUAGAUAGAUAGAGUGAAAGGCGCUAUAUAAUAGAUAGAUAGAUAGAUAGAGUGAAAGGUGCUAUAUAAUAGAUAGAUAGAUAGAUAGAUAGAGUGAAAGGCGCUAUAUAAUAGAUAGAUA